rnacentral:rRNA from 1 species
UACGUAGGGUCCGAGCGUUGUCCGGAAUCAUUGGGCGUAAAGCGCGCGUAGGCGGCCCGGUAAGUCCGUUGUGAAAGUCAAAGGCUCAACCUUUGAACGCCGAUGGAUACUGCCGGGCUAGAGUCCGGAAGAGGCGAGUGGAAUUCCUGGUGUAGCGGUGGAAUGCGCAGAUAUCAGGAGGAACACCAAUAGCGAAGGCAGCUCGCUGGGACGGUACUGACGCUGAGGCGCGAAAGCGUGGGGAGCGAACAGG